rnacentral:rRNA from 1 species
GACGAACGCUGGCGGCGUGCUUAACACAUGCAAGUCGAACGGAAAGGCCCUGCUUGCCGGGUACUCGAGUGGCGAACGGGUGAGUAACACGUGGGUGAUCUGCCCUGCACUUCGGGAUAAGCCUGGGAAACUGGGUCUAAUACCGGAUAGGAGCCAUUUUUAGUGUGAUGGUUGGAAAGUUUUUUCGGUGUAGGAUGAGCUCGCGGCCUAUCAGCUUGUUGGUGGGGUAAUGGCCUACCAAGGCGGCGACGGGUAGCCGGCCUGAGAGGGUGGACGGCCACAUUGGGACUGAGAGACGGCCCAGACGCCUACGGGAGGCAGCAGUGGGGAAGAUUGCACAAGGGGCGCAAGCCUGAUGCAGCGACGCCGCGUGGGGGAUGACGGCCUUCGGGUUGUAAACGCCUUUCGCUAGGGACGAAGCUUGUUGUGACGGUACCUAGAGAAGAAGCACCGGCUAACUACGUG